rnacentral:lncRNA from 1 species
UUGCAUGAUGUGGAGACCCAAAAUGGCUGAGGACUGCUGCUCAGUGCCCCAGCUCUGUUCACUCGCCUAGAGUUUCCUCAACAAGCCCUGCUGCUUCUGUCUUCUGAGCUCUGACCCACCAAGCCAUUUCCUCUACUUGGAGUGCUUUCCUUCCCUUUCUGCUUUUCCCUUCUCAAAACCAAGCUAAAACAUUGCCUGCUCUAUGAAACUUAUCCUAUCACCCUGUUCAGAUGCACAUGCCUUUCUUCUCUACUUUUGUGACACCACAUGCAGAUCUGUUCAUCAUAUUUUCUGGUAUUCAUUUGUUUAAAAAUAUGAAUUGAGAUACCACUAAAUGCCAGAUGCUAUAUUAAGUGCUAACUACAGUCUUGGUGAACAAAAAGGAAACCUGUGAACCUCACAUAGGAGUGAUUUUGCCCUCCAGGAAACCUUUGGCGAUAUCUGGAGACAUUUUUGGUUGUCAAAACUGAGCGGUGGUGGAGUGAUGCUACUGGCAUCUAAUGGAUGGAGGCACAGGAUGCUGCUGAACAUCCUGCAAUGCACAGAGCAGCUCCCCCACAACAAAAUAAUGAUCUGGCUCCAAACGUCAAUGGUUCCAAAGUUGAGAAAUCCUGCACUAAACGUAUGGUUCCCAAAGUGUGUGCUUAGACACCCCAGGGUGGACAUAGGAGUGCCGUAGGACAUUUUAAAGUGUGAAUGGAAACACAGUGGCAUCUGUCAAGCACUAAAUGAACUACUAACUCAAGAUAGUUCACAGUUUCAACAUUAGCUUUCUUUUUUUUUUUUUAAAUAAUGUCUCUUUGUAAAACUUGGUUUUGGAAGUUGCUGUGAUAAGAAUCAAAUACUUGGUGAAUAUCACUGUGGAAUAAGAAGUGAGAAUGGCAGUUUCCAAUCUGACUUCAAGGUUUGUGAAGUUGGGUAGUGACCAGAAGUUGUUGAGUUUUUAGGACGUAAAUAGUUAUUAAAUUGUUUGGACUUGACAACUCAAGAAACUCAAUUAUUAGGUAUAUCUUUUGGCCUAGGGGGUGUAGUAAAAAAUUAUGGAUAUGCCACGGGCACCAUAAAGCAGAAGGCUUGAAACUGCUGGGCUUGACUUUAAGUUCCUUGGGAAUAGGCAUUGUGUAUUAGUACUUUAUAUCUGCAGCACCCAAAACAGUGCCUGCUACAAGUGUGAGGUGCGAGAAUGCCAAACAGAUAUCCAUAAGGAGAUUGAGGGAAAUUUAAUAAAUUUAAGAAAUAAAAUGGCAGGUAUGAAAUGAAUGAAAGGGCACAUGUGCACUGUAGUGUCAAGAGAAUUAUAUGUUAAGUGGCAAAAUUCGACCUACUGGUUCACUAUGCACUACAACAUCCCUAAAUACCUCCCUACUUAUAUAGGAUAAAAUAAGAGAGGGGAAAAGAAUAAAGCUUGACUUUCUUAUUCUUUGGCCUGUGAA